rnacentral:lncRNA from 1 species
UAAAGUUCACUCAUAGCCUGUGUAUUGGGCCUUUUACCUCUUGUGACUCCCACCGAACAGUGAAACAGAUACACAACCAACACAGUAUGCAUGAGAUAGUAAAGCGCACAUAGGAUGCAAUGCAAGCAGAUAAGUAUGCAAAGCAAUAAAUAAAUAACUGUACAAAAGAAUAAACACCCAACAAACAAGAAAACUAUAAAAGCU